rnacentral:rRNA from 1 species
GACGAACGCUGGCGGCGUGCUUAACACAUGCAAGUCGAGCGGAGCGGCGAACGGGUGAGUAACGCGUGAGUAACUGCCCCCCUCUCUGGGAUAACAGUUGAAAACGGCUGCUAAUACCGGAUAGUGGGGGAUGACUCGCGGCCUAUCAGGUUGUUGGUGGGGUAGUGGCAUACCACGGCAACGACGGGUAGCCGGCCUGAGAGGGCGACCGGCCACAUGGGGCUGAGAUACGGAGCAAACGCCUAUGGGGGGCAGUAGGGGGGAAUAUUGCACAAUGGGGGAAAGCCUGAUGCAGCAACGCCGCGGGCGGGAUGAAGGCCUGCGGGUUGUAAAACGCUGUCAGCCAUGACGCGGUAGUGGCAGAAGAAGCACCGGCUAACUACGUGCCAGCAGCCGCGGUAAUAC